rnacentral:rRNA from 1 species
AUACGGAGGGUGCAAGCGUUAUUCGGAAUCACUGGGCGUAAAGGACGCGUAGGCGGGUUGGCAAGUCAGAUGUGAAAUCCUACAGCUUAACUGUAGAACUGCAUUUGAAACUGCUAACCUAGAGUAUGGGAGGGGGAGAUGGAAUUAGUGGUGUAGGGGUAAAAUCCGUAGAUAUCACUAGGAAUACCGAAAGCGAAGGCGAUCUCCUGGAACAUAACUGACGCUAAGGCGUGAAAGCGUGGGGAGCAAACAGGAUUAGAAACCCGGGUAGUCC